GCCGAUGUGGCGAAAUGGCAGACGCAACGGACUUAAAAUCCGUUGGGCUUUAAAAGGCCCGUGCCGGUUCGAGUCCGGCCAUCGGCACAA
rnacentral:tRNA from 1 species